UACAGAGGUCUCAAGCGUUGUCCGGAUUGACUGGGCGUAAAGCGCACGCAGGCGGCCGCGCGCGUGGGGUGUGAAAUCUGGCCGCUUAACGGCCAGGCGCCAUCCCAUACGGCGCGGCUGGAGCCAUGCAGAGGGCGGUGGAAUUGCCGGUGUAGUGGUGAAAUGCGUGAGAGAGUCGGCAGGAACACCCAGGGGGAAACCAGCCGCCUGGGCCAUGCGCUGACGCUGAGGUGCGAGAGCGUGGGGAGCGAACCGG
rnacentral:rRNA from 1 species